UACGAAGGGGGCUAGCGUUGCUCGGAAUUACUGGGCGUAAAGGGCGCGUAGGCGGAUGUUUAAGUCGGGGGUGAAAGCCCAGGGCCCAACCCUGGAAUUGCCUUCGAUACUGGACAUCUUGAGUGCGGGAGAGGUGAGUGGAACUCCGAGUGUAGAGGUGAAAUUCGUAGAUAUUCGGAAGAACACCAGUGGCGAAGGCGACUCACUGGCCCGUUACUGACGCUGAUGCGCGAAAGCGUGGGGAGCAAACAGGG
rnacentral:rRNA from 1 species